UCGCUUCAACUUCCUUGAAAUCGUCGGGGUUCUUCUGAGGAUGACCAAAGAUUCACACGGCACCGAUGGCGGCAGCACCCAGAGAUUUCUUCCGCCAUGCUGGUGACGGUGCCAGUGCAGCUGCAGCUGGGUUGUGAGUGGUUGUUAAUAUGACUUGCCGGUGCUAUUGCGUCCAUCUUUGUUUUCCCUGGGAUGUUAUCAAGACGAGACUACAGGUUGCGCUCCCACUGUCACUAAAGUAUGAUCUUUCUUGGAAUAUGUAGUUGCUGCUUGAUGAGAAUGAACUUUUUCCUCGCUUUGUUGAUGAAGAUUGAGAUGGGUUUGGUUGAGGACAAGCCAUUGUACAAGGGCAGAUGCUCUUUUUCUUUGUGAAUUGUAGUUGUAAAGUUCACACUCAACCUCAACCUCCUGGCAAGGAAGGCAUUGCUUUACCAUUAAGCAAUUUCCUCCUGCUUUCGGGAGAAGGAGUACGGCUGUAGUAUGGAAAUUGGAAGCUGCCUUUCAAAUUUUGAACUAUCGAUGGUUUUAAAUUUUGUUU